CGUCGAGCCGUACGUUGCGUCGCGCGCGCGGAGAGCACGCGGCGCGCCGAUGACGCCGUGGUGAUAUGGUGCCGAGAGUUUCGCACCCGAGGCGCACGCCGCCGCGUUGCCGCUGCCGUGACUGCCGGACGAGGAUCGCCGCUGCGUCUCAGGUGUCGGCGGCGACGACACGCCGGGACCGACGUAUCCUGCCCGGCGGAACCACUACUUCGUGGUAAGUAGUGGUCUCCGAUCGUUUGAAAAGCGAGCGGCUCGGAGCCGCCGCACCGGACGGGAGAUAUGCGCAGCAAGCAGCAGCCCAGGCCUUCUUUCCGAUGGCCGCAGCAGCGCGGUGAUAACCUUACCGGGGAGGACGGCGUCGAAGGCUCUGCGCCCGGUACGGACCUCCAAGGUGAGGAGGGCGAUUGCGUCGACGAGGAUGGGCCCAUUAGCCCGAGCGAGCGGGGCUGCGCGCCCGCUGCGAAGGAGGACGAGGAUGCCGAGGGAACGGACGAAGAGGACGAUGAGGAAGCCUCGCCACCUACGCCCCCGCCUUCCACCACCUCGAGGUUAAACCCGACUAUCCUGCGGGACACGGGACCUCCGGAUAGGGAGCCAAUGAGUCCGCGCUGUCCUUCGAGAGAUUCUCGGGAAUCAUCCGGUCCGGCGACCGGAAGUCCCCCGCCACCUGCUACCAGGAGCAGCGCGAGCCCAGUCAGUCCAAGUAGUAUCGUGCCUCUACCCCUUGGAACUCACUCCCUGCUACCACCCCACUCUGCAGCGGUCAUGGCGGCGUAUCUGCAGCAGACCCAUCAGCGCCUCCUUCUCAGCCACUCGCCCUUGUCGCGUGGCUCGGUGUCGCCGUUGGUCUCCUCCUCGUGUUCGCCACCGGCCGCCACCCCCGGCCUCUUGGUGUCGCCCACCAGCAUCGGGGAGAUCUCGCCGUCGGCGACACCCCUGCCGGCCGUGCUGGACUUUAGCACGAGGAAAACGUCCUCGACCGAGGAGGACGAGGAGGAGCAGAUAUUAAAUCUCAGCAAACCACCUACGCCGUCUUCCUCGACGGAGACGAACAAUGGCCCGUUGGAUCUUUCGGUACCCAGCAGGAAACGACCCGGCCCGGAAGACUCGCCGCCGCCGCCGCCGCGCAAGUCAUCGAGACUGGCGUCCACGACGAGUUCCGCGAGCCAUCAGGAAACAGCACCGGGAGUCACGCCAUCCGGUUUCGGUAGACCGCCCGUCGUGUCUCCCUGGACGUCUCCGGUGGUGGCCUCGCACUUUCCGUACUUCGCCGCAGCGGUAGCGGCAGCAGCUACUAGUCAGCAGCAGCUCUCGCCGAAGAGCACCGGCGGAGUAGUGGAUCAUCAUCAGCUCUGGAACGGGAAGAUGAAGCCGCCAGCGGCGUUGGAGAAGCCCUAUCAACCUAGCGAAGCUACAAAGGCGCUCGAAAAGAUGAGCGAGCUGAGUAAAUUGGGCGGUGAGGAUCUUUACAGGUCCUCCGGGGGAGGAAGCGGCGCGACGGGUGCCAACGCGCCGGCGACAACGUCCAGCAGUCGUCACAGCGCUUGGCAGUCCCACUGGUUGAACAAAGGCGCCGAUCAAGCCAAGGACGUGCUAAAGUGCGUAUGGUGCAAACAGAGCUUCCCGACUUUGGCCGCGAUGACGACGCACAUGAAGGAGGCGAAGCACUGUGGCGUCAACAUGCCGGUACCACCGCCAGCGCCAGGGAUUCACUCGCAACAGACGACGAUGCCGAGCAUACCACCGCCUCAGCAGCCGCAUCAGCCGCAGACAUCCACCGGCAAUGCCGGCAGUAACAAUUCGGCCACACCUAGCAACAAACAAAGUCCAUCCGAUUUGAAUUUACUGAUUAAAGAAACGAUGCCACUACCGCGGAAGCUCGUGCGAGGUCAAGACGUCUGGCUGGGCAAGGGGGCUGAGCAAACGCGGCAGAUUCUCAAGUGCAUGUGGUGCGGCCAGAGCUUCCGCUCGCUGGCUGAGAUGACCUCACACAUGCAGCAAACGCAACAUUACACGAACAUCAUCUCGCAAGAACAGAUAAUAUCCUGGAAAUCAUCGGACGACAGCAAGGGCGGUAAUGCUACCGGUGGUGCCGCAGGUGGCGGAAGUGUCACCGGUGGAGGGGGCGGCGCAGGUGUACAGCCGGGCGGAGGGUCCGGACCUCAUGGCGGAAACAACGGCGGUCCCGGUGCAGGCGCCACGAGCAGUCACGUCAGCGCCGUGCUGACCUGCAAAGUAUGCGAUCAAGCGUUCAGCUCCCUAAAGGAGCUGAGCAAUCACAUGGUGAAAAAUUCGCAUUACAAGGAGCACAUAAUGCGCUCGAUCACCGAAAGCGGCGGACGUCGACGGCAGACGCGCGAGAAGCGGAAAAAGUCACUGCCCGUGAGGAAAUUGCUGGAGCUGGAACGCGCGCAGAACGAAUUCAAGAACGGCGACGCCGCCGCCGGGCUGACUCACAGCCUCGGCAAGCACGCCGGCAGAAUCACGUGCGAGAAGUGCGGCGACAAGAUAGAGACUCCGCUUUUCGUCGAGCACAUACGCCAGUGCAUCGGCGCGGGCACGGUGGGCGCCAAUCAGCGGAACUUUCUCAAGAACGCGCUCAUGUCCAAUCAUCUGUCCGCGACGUUACCGCCAACCGAAAGCGGACGCAAGAGCGUCAACGAGGAGACGUCUUCGAUAUCGUCGAGGCAUCACCGGUCUCCAUCCUCGGCCAGCGACGUGACGACACCGGGAAAAGAUACUCCUACACCGACCGCUAAUGAGACUACCGCUCCGAUAGGUACCUCGCCGUCGGUUUUGAACGCAAUAGAAAAGCUCAUCGAGAAGAGUUUCGAUUCUCGCGUGAGGCACGGCACGCCCGGCUUGCACCACGCUCAGCCCGGCGCCCCCAUAGGUACGAGCAUCCUCAAGCGUUUGGGUAUCGACGAGAGCGUGGAUUACACGAAACCUCUGGUGGAUCCGCAAACGAUGAAUCUGCUUCGAUCUUAUCAACAGCAGCAUCAGCAGCAGCAGCAUUACAACGCCAAUGUCGCGGCGAGAAGGGAACGGAGCGGCAGCGAGUCCAGUUCGAUAUCGGAGCGAGGAAGCGGCAGGACGGAUACCAUGACACCGGAGAGACGUAUUGACCUGUCUAACACGAGCCACGAGAGACAUUCUUCGAGUUCCCUGCCUCGCCAUCAUCGCGUCACUCCUGAGAAGCAGCCCACCCCGUUACCUAGUCGCCAUCAAACCGCGGAGGAAUCCGGAGACGAGGAGUCGCCUACCGUGGUGGUGAAGAAAGAACCGAGGGACGAGGAGACAGAGGAGCGAGGCGCGAACGAGGAGGAGCAACAGCAGUCGCAGUCGACGAGGGAGGUGUUCGUGAAGAAGGAAAUAGUAGACGACUGCAGAGACGAGGAGGAUCAGAGUUCCUACAAUCACCGACGAAGCAGCAUCCACGAGACGCCGGAGGAUGGACGAGAGGUGCUGUCACCUCGCAUGAAUCCACCUACGCCCCGGCCGACCAGCCAGGUGGAACAGGUCGCGCGUAGUCCUUGUAGGAACAGCACGAGCAGUCCUACCAGCAGCGACCGAUCGGUCACACCGCGGGGUACACCCGACACUAAGGCGUCGAGCAGUCUCGGGGCGCUCUCCUCCAUGUUCGACAGCUUGUCCGGCGGCGGCGGCGGCGGUGGCGGCGGCAACAACAUCGACUCGCAGGGGCGUAAAACAAGUAGCCAUCCACUCGCGGCGUUGCAGAAGUUAUGCGAUAAAACGGAAACGCGAGGUCCCGGCGCCAGCGGCUCCUCGAGAUCCGGGGGUGCUUCCACAGCUAGCACCAUCGGCUCGGGCAGCGGUAGCACGGUAGGGGCGACCGGCCCGGGUCCCGGGCCAACACCGGGUGCCAUCUUGGCUUUUAGCUGGGCCUGUAACGAUGCCGUGGUCACCGCGGAUUCAAUAAUGAAGUGUGCGUUCUGCGACACGCCCUUCAUUUCGAAAGGCGCGUACAGGCACCAUCUAUCCAAGAUGCAUUUCGUCAAGGACGGCGUCAUCCCGGAUCCACUGACCAUCGGCCGAUCGGCGGCAGCGGCCGCGGCCGCGGCCGCCGCGGCGGCUUCCCAGGGCACUUCCGGCGGACCGAGCCGCAAUUCCUCGUCGCCGCCGACGUCGCAGCGCAACAAGUCGCCGCCGAUUCCGCAGGCGAACGGCAGCCCGUCGCAGUCAGCGGCCUCACCCCUCGAGGAGAGCCCGCACUCCAAAUUUCUCAAGUAUACGGAGCUGGCGAAGCAAUUGUCCAGCAAAUACGUAUAGUCCGAGCCCCGUAAGUAGCGGUGCCAUUUGUACAUAAGUGUAUCUAUACUGUAACGACUGUAAAACUAGCGAUGUGAAAAUUUUCAUCCCCUUCCCCGCGAACACCGCCGCGCCGAACGACGUCGUCGCGCAUCCGACGUCUUCGGGUUUAUGCUUAAAGAGGCUGUGUCGUGGCUGAAACGAUCAUGGAAAAAGAGAUCCUAUAAUUAUUUCACGUUAUCAUCUAUGCAUUUCAAACAAAUCCUGUCGCGUAUAAGACGGGACGAAUCAAGUUGUAAUAUUCGUAGUUUUGAUCGUUAAUUUUCCACUGAUCAUACGAUAUAUAUUCACGGUAUAUAUUCAUAUAAAUUUAUCGAGUUUAAAUUUCGAUGCUGUAAAAACGAAAGAUGAUUUCUAUCAUUUAAAUGAAUAGAAAAAUCCUCUUUCGCACGUUUAUAGCACUGAAUAUUCAACCCCACUAAUUAUUACCUUUUAACUCUUCUUACAAUCUUCCGUAUGAUAAGCCUACAAUUAUUUGCUCAAGAACAAAUACAAGAAAAUAUAAAUAAUUGACAUGUGGGACAUUUAUAUCUGUCUGCUACAAGAAUUGAUCUUUAUCUAGUGGUAUAAAAAGAAUCAAUUCGUGAGACAUAACAUCAUAUUGCCAUUACAUAAUUUGAAAUACAUUACAAUUUUUUUUCAUAAAAUUAUGUAUUACAAUUAAAACAUAUUUUAUAAAAUGUGAUUCUUUAGAGAUAUAAAUUAUUUUGUUAAACGUGUACAUUUUUAUUUAUGUAAACAUAUACUAUUCUAAUAAAGCUUGUAAUUAAAAUAAUACAAAAUUUCUUACAUUUACAAUAUUAGCAAAUAAAGUGUAUUAAAUCUUCUUUUUUUUCAACAGAAUACUCUUUUCUUCAAUUUGACUUUUUGACACAAUCUUGGCAUUCUUUUCAUUAAUUUUUGCAUAGCUUCUUUCCCAACGUUAUACCCCUCCGUCUUCUCUCAAGCUUCUUAGAAUGUUCCAAAGAUCUUUAAAAAUAAAAUAUUACGUAUAGCUCUUCCGUAUAGUUCGAUUGGACUAAAAUCUGUCUGGCGACUAAGAAGACCUAUCCGUGUAUUUUGCAAAAUUCCUUCGCAUUUUUUCUAUUUCUAAGUACUUCUUACAGAGCUUGGAAGUUUUAGAUCAUUAUCCAUUUGCAUUAUGAAUUCCUUAUUUAUUAAUUCCUACUGAAAGAAUGGUAUAAUUUUCGAGAACUUCUUUGCACUGCCUUUUCUUGAAAAUAUUGAUUCGAUAUAUACCGUACAAUCUCUUCAUAGAAAAAUAUACGGAGGAACCCGUAGUUGAUCUGUCAAACUUAAGCAGGUUGCUCUUGUCACUGUACGAAAAAGCAAUUUAAUAAACUUUAUUUUUUAAUACUGAACAUAUACAUAUAUAUGUGUUUUUAAAAUAUAUGAAAAUCUAAAUCAGAUUCGUAAGAUCAACAUCAAUAUAAAUAAAAGGAGACAAAGAAAGUCAAAACCGGAUAUUCGUGCUAUGUUUAUAUAUUAGCCGGUAAUAUAAAUUCCAAAUUUGUUAGUAUUAAACAUAUAUAUUUUAUUUUUGUUUUAAUUUUAAAGCCUCGCCACUGCACUCUUUCAGCCUAAAUGUGGAUAUCUCCGUCGAAAAGACUUCGCCGUUGCGACGAUAUUAUUAUAGUAAGAGAUUUCGUUCACUCGCAGAAUAAAUACAAACGCAACGCGAUUCCUCUACGGUUUUUUUUUUUGACGAUCGUUUUAGUCGUAUCAUCGAGGACGCAUCUUAUCAUUCCUGGGUCGGUGACACGAUUAGCGUGCGUCACACAGACCCUUCAAAAAUUCUACAUCGGAGAGGGGGCCUCAAAUUCCGUUUUAUACACACCUCUCUCAUAAUUUCUUUUAUACAGAUCCCUCUCUUCUUUUCCCACUUACUAUAUUUUUAGUCGUUACGAGAAGAUUAUGCUCUAGAGUAGACCUGCGCGCGUAAUCGUUUGGAAUGUUUCCUUCUCGCUAUGGAAUCACGUGCAAACAUGGGGAACGUCGCGAGAGAAUUUCAGUUUUUUUUUUCGUCCUUGCUUUUCGCAGAAUUCCUCCUCGAUCGCAAUCGCUAUAGAGAUACGUGUCCAAAGUAGGACGCGCAUAACUUUGUACAAUCGACAUUUCCGUGUUGUUAAGACUUUCUCGCAGCACGUUUCGCCUUCCGUUUUUUCGUAUCACUUUCCUUCCAUCGGUAUGAGAAUUAAGGAAUUGUACCAGCGACUCUUACUUUCUUUCGUGCCCAAGGAACGUGAGAGGGUGUAACGAAGAUGUGGGUGUUGAACGAGCGUUAAUUAAAUUGUGAUGCCACCAUAUCUCGCGGCACUGCUGAGUCACGGGGCUCGGCACGCGGCCAAGUUUGUGAUUUUAUAAAUACUUAAGGACGUUUACGACGUGAGAUGAGCAAGAUCGCGACGAGACAAAGGAAACCGCAAAAAUUGAUUGGAACAAAGAGAAAUGGAUAGAGAGAAAGAGAGAGAGAGAGAGGGUGAGGUGGAGAAAGAAAAGAGAGAUGGAGAGCGAGAAAAAGAGAAGGCUUACCUAUCAUCUGUCGUAAGAUCGUCAGCAUGUAUACCUCUAGAUCAUAAGGCCGUAGUUUAUUAGCGCAUAGGAUAGGCUAGGGUUCGACCCUGUAUAGGAAUCUCUUUGUUGAUACUUAUUACUACGAAAAACCCGGUGAGUUUGCUCGCGGGGACGGACAAGAGCCGCCCCGGAGAGCGUUACGACUGCUGCGAAUCGAAGGUGUGUAGAGACACACGAGCGAUUGUAAAAGCGACAAGAGCCGAGAGGUGCGGAGACGCGGUGCAAUAGCGAAGCGAUUAAUUGAAUAAGUACACGCGAAUCGAAUGCAUAGAACAGUGGAGUGCGAGAGAGCGAGCGAAUGAGAGAGAGAGAGAGAGAGAGAGAGAGAGAGAGAGAGAAAGUGAAUGAGCGAGACAGAGAGAAAGAGACAAGUGUGGCAGAGAAAGAAUAGCUAUCGAAGAACGCAUGCUUUCUCGACGUAAAUGCGUAUGUGUAGAUCAUUGUAAAUUUUCUUUGUUCAAAUAAUAUUUAUUGCGUCUGUGAGCGAGCCAACGCGUCAUUUUACGUGUAAAAUAUUGUCAUUAUUAUCACUCGAAUAUCGCGACUACUGUGUAUAUUGAUUAUAUAAUUACGGUUAUUCUAGUACGAUGAUGCGUGGCGUGGUGAGUGUAGUGUUAAAUGCAGAGCACAGGGCGCGAGUGGAUCAGACGAAGACGCGAAUGUUGACGAGAGGUAACGCGUGUGUGUGUGUGUGUGUGUGAAUGUGUGCGUGUGUAUGUGUACGUACGUGUGCGCAUGUGUGGCCGUGUGUAUGUAUUUGCGAGAGGGGCGAGGGAUAGAAAGAUAGAGUGACAGUCUGAGAACGAGGAAGAAUGCUUCCGAGAGAUUGAGAGACUUAGAAGCAGACCGGAAAAGAUGGAGCAGCUGCGUGCGGCCCUCGACAACGAAGGCCGGAAAAGAACGGAACAUAACUUGUAUACGUAUUUCUUGUAAACUCUAAUUCUUCCAUCGCGGACUUUAAAAGUAUUUAUCGACAUAAUAAUAAUAUUAAUAUUAUUAUAUUGUAAUUAUAUACGACUGCUGAGAGUGUGAUGAACGUAAUGCGAGACGAUUACGUGGCUGCGACCAACACGACAUUACAUGUAUCCCUAUAUACACGCAUGUACACGACAACGCGCGCGCACGCAUACGUACACACGUGAGGACACGCGUACACCGUCGCAGUAACACUCGAGGAAAGGAACAGCCAGCCGUGCGAAUGAUACGCUCGAAACGUACCUACCUACUUACAAACACGCAACCACAAAGAUAUGCAUCAUGUAUACGCGACUCUUGAAACCAUUUUACCAGAUUUGUCAUUAUUUAAUUAUUUCGGUUGUAUUUUAAAAUGCAAUUAAAGCUCAAAUAAAUAUAUAUGUU